GACGAACGCUGGCGGCGUGCCUAAUACAUGCAAGUAGAACGCUGAAGGAGGAGCUUGCUUCUCCGGAUGAGUUGCGAACGGGUGAGUAACGCGUAGGUAACCUGCCUGGUAGCGGGGGAUAACUAUUGGAAACGAUAGCUAAUACCGCAUAAGAGUAGAUGUCGCAUGACAUUUGCUUAAAAGGUGCCACUGCACCACUACCAGAUGGACCUGCGUUGUAUUAGCUAGUUGGUGAGGUAACGGCUCACCAAGGCAACGAUACAUAGCCGACCUGAGAGGGGGAGCGGCCACACUGGGACUGAGACACGGCCCAGACUCCUACGGGAGGCAGCAGUAGGGAAUCUUCGGCAAUGGACGGAAGUCUGACCGAGCAACGCCGCGUGAGUGAAGAAGGUUGUCGGAUCGUAAAGCUCUGUUGUAAGAGAAGAACGAGUGUGAGAGUGGAAAGUUCACACUGUGACGGUAUCUUACCAGAAAGGGACGGCUAACUACGUG
rnacentral:rRNA from 1 species